rnacentral:rRNA from 1 species
AUUGAACGCUGGCGGCAGGCCUAACACAUGCAAGUCGAGCGGAUGAAGGGUGCUUGCUCCUGGAUUCAGCGGCGGACGGGUGGGUAGUGCCUAGGAAUCUGCCUGGUAGUGGGGGAUAACGUCCGAACGCGGGCGCUAAUACCGCAUACGUCCUGAGGGAGAAAGGGGGGGAUCUUCGGACCUCACGCUAUCAGAUGAGCCUAUGUCGGAUUAGCUAGUUGGUGGGGUAAAGGCCUACCAAGGCGACGAUCCGUAGCUGGUCUGAGAGGAUGAUCAGUCACACUGGAACUGAGACACGGUCCAGACUCCUACGGGAGGCAGCAGUGGGGAAUAUUGGACAAUGGGCGAAAGCCUGAUCCAGCCAUGCCGCGUGUGUGAAGAAGGUCUUCGGAUUGUAAAGCACUUUUAGUUGGGAGGAAGGGCAGUAAGUUAAUACCUUGCUGUUUUGACGGUACCAACAGAAUAAGCACCGGCUAACUUCGUG